GAAUCAUCUACCUAUACUUACCUUCUUGCUGAUUCAUUGCAUCCUGAUAAACCAGCACUGUUGAUUGACCCCGUGGACAGAACAGUGGAUCGUGAUCUUGCACUUGUUAAAGAAUUGGGAUUGAAGCUUAUAUACGCUAUAAACACGCAUGUUCAUGCUGAUCAUGUCACUGGCUCUGGCUUGAUUAAGACUAAGGUGCCUGGCGUGAAAUCAAUCAUUUCUAAAGCAAGUAAUGCAAAAGCUGAUCUUUUUGUUGAACCUGGUGAUAAUAUCUACAUCGGAGAUAUUCAUUUGGAGGUUCGUGCAACUCCCGGUCAUACGUUAGGCUGUAUUACCUAUGUUACUGGAGAUGGAGUCGAUCAGCCUCAGCCAAGGAUGGCAUUUACUGGUGAUGCUCUAUUGAUAAGGGGAUGUGGAAGGACGGACUUUCAGGGUGGAAGUUCAGAC
rnacentral:misc_RNA from 1 species